rnacentral:rRNA from 1 species
UACGGAGGGUGCAAGCGUUGUUCGGAAUCAUUGGGCGUAAAGCGCGUGUAGGCGGCUUGGCAAGUCGGUUGUGAAAGCCCGGGGCCAACCCCGGAAUUGCAUCCGAAACUGCCUGGCUGGAGUCCCGGAGAGGAAGGCAGAAUUCCCGGUGUAGGGGUGAAAUCCGUAGAUAUCGGGAGGAAUACCAGCGGCGAAGGCGGCCUUCUGGACGGUGACUGACGCUGAGACGCGAAAGCGUGGGGAGCAAACAGG